AGACAAGCGAUGAUGGGAAGCAGUAAGCGGUCAGCGAAAGCCAAGAGAGAGGGUGCGGCAGGUGUAAGCACCCGUGACGCGCCGCCCAAGUCGUCCCUGAGCUUCGGGCUGAACGGAAAGUAGGCUUCGACGGCGGUCCUCCGUUACCGGGACAGGGUGUUUUUGCACCCAUGAGCGCGGGUAGAUCCCGAAUACAGGUGGUACCACGGACUUUACGUUCGCCCUGUUU
rnacentral:ncRNA from 1 species